AAGCUCACUGCUAAGGGUGUAGGGAGUUACCUUUCAGAGGGAGCUCACUGCUAAGGGUGUAGGGAGUUACCUACAGAGGAAGCUCACUGCUAAGGGUGUAGGCAGCAAGGCAGUUACCUACAGAGGUAGCUCACUGCUAAGGGUGUAGGGAGUUACCUACAGAGGAAGCUCACUGCUAAGGGUGUAGGGAGUUACCUUUCAGAGGGAGCUCACUGCUAAGGGUGUAGGGAGUUACCUACAGAGGUAGCUCACUGCUAAGGGUGUAGGGAGUUACCUUUCAGAGGUAGCUCACUGCUAAGGGUGUAGGGAGUGAGGCAGUUACCUUCAGAGGAAGCUCACUGCUAAGGGUGUAGGGAGUUACCUUUCAGAGGGAGCUCACUGCUAAGGGUGUAGGGAGUUACCUUUCAGAGGGAGCUCACUGCUAAGGGUGUAGGGAGUUACCUACAGAGGAAGCUCACUGCUAAGGGUGUAGGGAGUUACCUACAGAGGAAGCUCACUGCUAAGGGUGUAGGGAGUUACCUACAGAGGAAGCUCACUGCUAAGGGUGUAGGGAGUUACCUUUCAGAGGGAGCUCACUGCUAAGGGUGUAGGGAGUUACCUUUCAGAGGGAGCUCACUGCUAAGGGUGUAGGGAGUUGCCUUUCAGAGGUAGCUCACUGCUAAGGGUGUAGGGAGUUACCUUUCAGAGGAAGCUCACUGCUAAGGGUGUAGGGAGUUACCUUUCAGAGGAAGCUCACUGCUAAGGGUGUAGGCAGCAAGGCAGUUACCUUCCGUUUGAGACACAGCCUUUGAGGCCUCGGGCUUCUGCAGGGACACAAACCAGGGCCAGGAAAGCAGUCAGACACAGUCAUAAUACUGUGCAUUAUGACUUUUUAAACAAUUGUGUUUUGCAAUUAUUUAUAACUACUUUGCUUUUUUGUGUUGCCAGUAUUUCUGCCUCUAAAAUGGAGCCUGACAGUAUUGAUUGGUCUAAAUAAGGUUUGUUGUAAAAUGAAAAUAACAAAAAACAUAUCAGUAUAUCUCUCAGAGCAAACAUUACUGUUUCCUGUUUGAACAAUUGCAUCAAUGUCAUGUUAUAUCAUAGCCUGAAUAUUAAUUCACAUAAGACAAAAGACAGGCAAGCAUUUAUUGCUUGAAUGCAGCUGGCUGUUAACUACAAGGCUGUGAAAAUGUUGUAUUCUGUUUUUGUGGAAAAUGCAAUAAUUUAAAAUCAUGUUUUAUUCUGAUUGCAGCGUAAAGUACAGGACUAAUUCCUCGGGUUAUUUAGACCUCUAUUAUUAUCUGUUUAAAAUACAACUUUUAGGCUUGCAGUCCCCAUGAAAUAAUGUGGGGGAAACUUUCAUGCCUUUAACAAAACUGAUGCUUAUCGUCAAAGCCGGACUCACACAGCCACGCAAUCCUCAUAGAAAACAUUGGCAGUAGAAUGGGUAGGACUGAAGAGCUCAGUGACAUUCAGUGUGGCACUGUCGUAGGAUACCAACAUGUCAAAAUGUCAUUUCUGCCCUGCUACAGCUGCCCCGUGCUGUUACUGUGAAGUGGAAACGUCUAGGAGCAGCAGCUCAGUCGCGUAGCGGUGGGCCGCACAAGCUCACAGAACGGGACCGCCGAGCGCUGAAGCGUGUAGCGCGUAAAGAUCGUCUGUCCUCGGGUGCAACACUCGCUGCCAGGCUGCCUCUGGAAGCAAUGUCAGUGCAAGCACUGGUAGUCAGGAGCUUCAUGAAACGGGUUUCCAUGGCCGAGCAGCCGUACACAAGCAUGCGCAAUGCCAAGCGUUGGCUGGAGUGGUGUAAAGUACACUGCCAUUGGACUCUGAAGCAGUGGAAAUACAUUCUCUGGAGUGAUGAAUCACGCUUCACUAUCUGACAGUCUGGCAAAUCUGGAUUUAGCGGAAUGUAUAGUGCCAACUGUACUGGCCCGAAUAGUGCCAACUGUAAAAUUUGGUGGAGGAGGAAUAAUGGUCUAGGGCUGUUUUGCAUGGUUUGGGCUAGGCCCCUUAGUUCCAGUGAAGGGAAAUUUUAAUGCUACAGCAUACAAUGACAUUCUAGAGAAUUGUGUGCUUCCAACUUUGUGGCAAGAGUUUUGGGAAGACCCUUUCCAGUUUCAGCAUGACAGUGCCUUCAUGCACAAAUUAAGGUCCAUAAAGAAAUGUUUUUUUCCCUGAGUUUGGUGGGGAAGAACUUGACUGGCCUGCACAGCGCUCUGACCUCUACCCCAUCCAACACCUUAGGGAUGAACUGGAAUGCCGACUGCGAGCCAGGCCUUAUGCCCAACAUCAGUGCCCAACCUCACUAAUGCUCUUGUGGCUGAAUGGAAGCAAAUCCCCACAGCCAUGUUCCAAAAUCUACUGGAAUGCCUUCCCAGAAGAGUGGAGGCUGUUUCAGCAGCAAAGAGGGGUCCAACUCCAUAUUAAUGCCCAUGGUUUUGGAAUGAGAUGUUCAAGUACAUACGGGUGUGAUGUUCAGGUGUCCAUAUACUAUAGCCGUGUAGUGUAGCAUGGAAAUGUAAAUAGAAACAGGCUGAGAGUAAUCAUCCAUUUAAAGGUAAGCUUACUGAAGACCUGGUUCUCCUGCUAUGGUGCACCGCUGCCAGCUAGAUGGCAAUGAACGCAGAUCCCUAACCGAUUAAACGCUUGCAUACCCUGGGCAAUGCAGUCACCAAACGCGCGUUCUCCUAUGGAGUUAACGGCCACAGUUGGCACUGACGUGGGCCAGAUUCGGUCCGAGGCCGUGAGGCUCACACUUGCACCACAGCGUGGUGUGUGAACUGAAUGAGCCAUUUGGCAGCCCCAAACAGACAUUAUGUUUCUCUACAAAGUCUUCCAACUGGAUUUGGGCGACCCAGGGGGCUGCAUUUUAGGAGUUUUAAGUGACGCGACCCAUGGUUGGGAACUGGUUCCAAAACAUACUGUGCUUUUUUGGUUUUAAUUUGUAUUGACAAUGAGUCUGUUUAACAUGAAUAUUAAUUGUUGUGGCAACCAGCUGCUGUAGCUGUCAUUAAAGCACUGUCGGUUGACUUGGGAGCUGAUGUUGCUACUGAAUUGAAACCGGGAUUAGGGAUGCACCGAUAUUAAAGUUUCUGACCGAUUCCUAUUUUAUUUGGAGUAAACCUCGGCCGAUACCGAUUUGUUCGGUGGUUCUGCUUCCAUAAGUUUCAUGAACAACUAUUUUAAAACUUUCCAUUCUAAUAAACACUUUUAAUUAUACUACUUUCAAGUAAUGCAACAAAGUUAAACAUUUUCUUAUGACAUUAAUUCACAUACUUCCAACUGAAAGUGAAUUCCCCCAGAUACUUUUUCAGGCCUGGUGGCAUGCACUGUGAAAGCCCCAAACAGACGCAGCAUGCUGGGUGGCCUAUUGGAAAACGGAGAGAAAUUUUGUUUUGUAUCUGACAGGCAAGUGAAAACCACCUCUUGAAUUACAAGUAAACAAUGGACUAUUUUUUUUACUUUUGAUUGACAGGACGUAGUCUGAGCAGGCCAUCGGUUGUUUUCAAACUAUCGUCUUAUGGCCGAUUGCAGUAUUGUCGGCCAAUAAUGAUCUGUGACAGAACAAUCGGUGCCUCCCUAAACUGAAUUUUAUGACCUUUAAUAAGCUGGUAUUUAAGUUUUGAUGUGCUUUUUUAGAAUUUGUCUGACCGUCACACUAUAUACACUAAUUUCAUUGUAUAGAAUUACUUGGUGUCACAUUGUACUUUACUUAAAUAUCAUCUGUGUUCUUACUCAUUUGCUGAUUUUCCUUUACACAGUGCAUGUAUAAAGAUCAAAUCAAUGUCAAUCCUGUUUCUUUUAAGUAAAGAGCAAGAAUGAGAGUAUUUUAGAAUUUUAGUCAUAGUCCAUCUGUUUUUUUUCCCCCUUUCCCUAAUUGUGAAAGUGUCUUCAUUCAUACAGGAAAGCUAAUUAUUUUUCUAAACAUAAAGGCAGCAAUGCGGGUGCCAGGCAGUGCACAUGGACUAGACUAUUGGAUAUGGUUCAGGAUGAAUGCAGGAUGAAUGAGACUUUUUUUCCAAGGCACAGUGUGUACUAUACAGUUUACAGGCCUGCAAUCACUAAGUCUUUUCCGUUCAGACCUAUGGGGAGCACACACAGACAUAGGGGUUUCCCUGGUGUCCUGGCUAAAUUCCCAAUCUGGCUCUCUCCAACUUGCCACUUAAUCAUCCCCUCAUUUAAAUGGCUAAAAAAAAAAAGUUCUCUCCCUCUCCACCUUAGCUAAUGUGUGGUGAGCGUUCUGGCACAAAAUGGCUGCCGUGCAUCACCCAGGUGGGUGCUACACAUUGGCCGUGGGUGAGGGGAGUUCCCACUCAUCACUGUAAAGCACUUUGAGCGUUGGGAAAAGUGCUAUAUAAAUGCAACGAUUCAUUCAUUCAUGAAUAUUUAACUAGACAGGCAAGUAUUCCUUCAGCUAACCUAAGCUUGUUAAGUCCCAGAAGUAGCCUGUACAGGCCUAAGGACGCCACUGGACAGGGAAACCGCCGGAACAUUAAAGGGUUAAGAAGCAUGUGUGUGAAUGUUGGGGCUUUAUAUUCCUGCAUCGGUUUUUAAACACUGGGGCUUCCUACCGGAGUGGCCAAGUGUGCAUGUCGUUAUAGUCACGCUGGUACUUCCUGAUCGCAUGGUGCUAUUUGGGCGCUGCCAUUUUCGACCUGUUGUGCUGUAGUGGAAUUUCAGUCGGGAUUUUCUGUCAGUUUAUUUAUUGUACCGCAUUGAUGUACAUCCUAAUGUGUCGAUUUCUCAAACUCAAAAAUAUUUCACCUUUAUCCUAAUUUCGUAUUUUAAUGAGUAUUUUGAGCAGUCUAAUAAUUAUUAUUGUGAUUAUUAUGAUUCUCCUUAUUUUUAUAGCUAGUGUUGUGGUUGUUAUUGAAUUGUGACAAUUGUAUAUUACAAUAUUCUUAUAUCUGUUCCUUUUCAGACAAUACACACACACACACACACACACACACACACCUGUGUGCACCUAUUGACUGUACCUACGUACUUGGACGUGCAAUAAACAGUAAAACAGGAUUCCUGACUUCUUUGUGCUGACUGACACCCCAUUGGGGCAGCUACCAUUUCCUGAUCCAACCUAUUAACCUGUACUGUAUAUAGUGUGUUGCUCAAAGGCAUAAGCAACUAUAUAUCAAGAGAACUUUUUGGGUGGGGGGAGAUUUAUUUGGGCGGGUCGGUAUGGGAAACACUGAAUGAUGGAUGGAGACCGAUCUCUCAUUUUUACUGUUUCAGUUUGAAUAGCUCCUGUGGUUUGCCUUUGUAAGGCAUAUUUCCCAAACAUUCUAUUCAGACCUAGUAUAUGCUACCUUAUGAAACUAAACUGACAUAGAAGAUAUCUAAAGUUAGUCUAAUUGCCGUGGCCAUGGGUCAUAAUGCAGUUCACCCUGUGCCCCACUGGGGGAUUCAGUGAGACAGGAGGUCAGAUAACGGCACCUCAGGCCACUGGUUUGGAGCAUUGGUCCUCUCUGGCAGGACAGGAUUCGAAUCCUGUUUGACUCCCCGUCGUUUCAUGAUGUAUAAUAAAAGACUGAAGUAGGAAUGUGCGCUAGUGAGAUCUACGAUGGGUCCCUAUUACCACCAUGAGAGACGCAGGACUGUUUUCGCCUCGCUGGCUCUGCCUCCAUCCUGCCCUGUUGCCGACUGGAUGUAUUUUGGGUACAGGCUUUGCUUUGAUUGGCUCAAAAACCUGAAUCAUCAAACUUCUUUCUUCUAAUUGGUUUAUUAGUCCUCAUAUAUUGGAAAAUGUCUUGUUGUAAUCUAUAACUCUGUUAUCAAAAUAAAAAAAAACAAAAAUUUAAUCACAGUCAAAAAGAAAAAAGUAUUUGUUACUUUCCACCUCUGGGGAAUAAAAUUUCCCCCUCACAGUACUGGUGAUUUGUACGUGGAAAGGAAUUCAAGCUGUAGAUCACUACCUGGAAAGAAGCUUCCAUGCAUUUUUAGUUUGGGAAAUUUCAUCAAGAUCCACUAGGUGGCAGGUUGGGAUUACUCUCGAAGAGCGAUUUAGCAGAGGAAAUGUGUCGCCUCAAUAUGCAUUACCUUUUUUUUCAUUCAAUCAUUUUUAAUUCAAAACUUAAUCUCAUUUUGUUUUAUAUUUGUUCAUUUAAAUCCCCCCUUUAUAUUCUUCAAGUUUCUUCUAGAUUUGGCAAAUGUAGAUUUAAAAAACAAACAAACAAAAAACCUGUAGCUAGAAAGCCCUGGUUUGGCUACUUGAUAUUUUCCACUUCCAUAGAUGGACAAAAAACUUCUGCUGGAGAGGUUUGUAGUUGUAAUUUUCCAUUUGGAAAAUCAUUUUAAAGGGAAACCCGCCUUUAAAGACUUGUAUGGCUUAAUAUGUUCCAAAUGCCCACAACUAUAGAAAUAUGUUGUAAAAACCACAGAAAAGAAAAAAACCCAGCCUUUUAAUAGAAAAUUUGACCUAUGGAGAUUGCCAUUAUUUUAGAUGCGCAGUGCACUUUGGGUAAAUGACGUAAAUGGUUGCACUGGAGGUGAACUCAAGUUGUUUUGUCCAGCAGUUGCGGUUAUUAAUAGUGAAAAAUAUCAAUACAAUGCCACAGAAUGUGUGUGUGAUGUGAUACAUGUGUGUCAUCUUAAUGUAUCAGCAGGUAUUGUCAUUUAGGGAUUAGUGUAUGCAUUUAAAGAAGGUAUUAUCACUGGUUUAAGAUCAUAUCGUAACAUUAUUACUGAUCCACCUCGUAUACAUACAAUAAAGUUACGUCAAUUAAAUUAAUGGGGAUUCAUUUCAUUAAUUUUUUUUCACCAAAAACGAUAGUUUGACCCAUAUGGUAAAGUGACUUUCAACAGCUGAUGCUAUAAAGUGCAGUUCUUUACAACAGGCAACUAUUCUAUCUCUAUUGGCAUAGUCUUACGGCCACCUCUCGCCUCCUCCGAUCUUCAUCGUUUUUUUGUCCUCGCUGCUUGCCUCCUGAGUAAUGUUCCGCUCUGACUCGAAGAGAGAUCAUAGACUGCGAGACCCGAGGAACUGUUUGCCGUCACUAUCCAGAGUGCACUGCGACGGUAAUAACGAUGGUGAAGUACGAGCUAAAUGAUUUAAAAACAUAUUUUAAUAACUGAAAUCUUUCAUGUGAUUUUAAUAACAUAUGUAUGUAAUUGAAGGCAUUUACACCAUAUUAAAUCCGACAAGUCUUAACAGGCGGGGUUCCUACAAUGUUAGCAAGUCUUUGUAGUAAUCGAAUCACUGCUGUAUACGUUUAGAAGAUCUUGACGGGCCAUUGCUCCAUGUGUUGACAGGAGUCUGUGCUUUGCAUGAUGGCACCAUCAAGCCUUGGUGGGUGUUUGUGUUGAAUAUAUACUUGACUUUAAGGACAAAAUGGAGGGGCUCCAGGGGCUGUUGGAUGCUCAUUCACUUUAAGCACCACACUGUGGUGCACGGAUGCUCCCCAAGAUCUUGAAUCAAUCCUUAUCGUGCCAGUGCUGUGACCAGUUGCUCCAUAGGAGGCAAUGCGCAACUGACAGUUGCAUCCUCCAGGGUAUGGAAGGAUUCAGUCAGUUACGGCUUUGCGUUCACUGCCGUGUGGCGGUCCCUGCUGGUUGAUCGGGCGCCCAUGGACUACAGUGCUAAACCACAUGGUGGACUACAGUGCUAAAUUACAUGGUGGACUACAGUGCUAAAUUACAUGGUGGACUACAGUGCUAAACCACAUGGUGGACUACAGUGCUAAAUUACAUGUGAAACUCUUCAGCCAUCUCCGCUCUAUACCAGCUUAGUUGUAGUUUGUGGGGUGAAGAGAAGCAUCCGGCUACACCACGUGUUUUGGGGGAGAACCGUGGACAUUUACACCCUCCUGAAUGGGUAGUGAGGUAUGCAGCAUGAACAUGGCUGCAGUUUCAGAUGAUUUUGGGCAGGGAUUGAAGGGGCACCAAAUAAAAAUUUUUAAAAAAGAAGAAACUGAGCUUUAGGAGUUAUUUUAGUAGUUGCAUUUGAACAGUUGGUCCCGUGGAAUUGCAUAGCUUUGGAGAUGAGUAUUUCAGAUGUAAACCAUGUGCUUUUGACAGAGCUGGGUAAUGCCUUAACUGCUGGUUUCACGUAGAUGGCACAAUACAUUUUAUUCUAAAGAAGCAUGUGAAGUAACAGCAAUAACAUUUGCAUUUUUAAUUUAUUCAUCAAGUUUUUUUAAACAAUAACUACCCCCUUUAAAAAACCAAAAGAUGAAAAUAAUAGUAAUAGUUAUUCAGGUGGAUUUUUCUGAAGAGUCGAAACAACUCGCAUCCUUGUGAAUGUAUGUUUGUAUUUAUAUGCAUAUUUAAGUAUGUGUGUGUGUGUAUGCAUGUGUAUUCAUGUGCAUAUAUAUCUAUGAGUGUGUAUGAGUGUGCUAGUGGGUGCGUGUAUUUAUGUACAUACAGAUGGGUGACAAAUUAAAGGAAAAACCUGAAUAAAUGAGUGGAGAAACAUAAUGAAUGCAGAUGCUUCCAUACAGGUUUACUGCAUGAUACAAUUAAGCAGUUAACAUUCUAUCAUGAUCUGUGGCAUGUAUAAAAAUGCUGUCCAGGCCCAGUUGACCUUGAUUUCGGAUCACAAUGGAAAGAGGAAAAGAGCUAAGUGAUUUUGAAAGAGGGUUCAUUACUGGGGCACGAAAAGACUGUUCAACUGGUUAGUGCAUUUAGACCUAUGGGAAAGACAUCCGUAAAUAUGGUUGGAAAUUGUGGUCAAAAGAGCACAUUCGAUGACUGUGAUGUUCAUGCAUUAGUGUGAUAUGUAAGGAAAAGCAGAAGAGCAACUCUUCCUCAUGUGACUGAGAAAAUUCAAUGCAGGAUGUGAUCAGACUGUAUCAGCAGGAACAGUCCAUUGACAACUACAUAGAGGCGUAUUAUAGUAGGGUUGCAGUGCAUAAACCUCAUUACAAAGACAAAUGCACAUUUGAGAGUUCAGUGGUGCAAUAACCACGGGUACUGGUCUACAGAGAUGUGGAAAAAAGUGAUAUGGUCAGAUGAGUCAUCCUUCACCAUAUGCUUGACAAGUGGGCGAGUGCAUAUGGCGUACACCAAGAGGAUGGAACAGGCCUGAAUGCUUGACCCCUACAGUGAGGGGGUCCGGUGGCUCUGUUAUGCUGUGGGGGGCAUGGUUUGGGUCCACUUGUCCCUUUAGCGGGAAGGGUCACUGCAAAUCAACACAAAGUUAUUCUGAGUGAUCACCUUUAUCCUACAAUGAAACAUUUCUAGCCUGAUGGGAGUCAUCUCUUCCAGGUUGACAAUGCUCCCAUCCACAGGGCAUGAGGGGUCACUGAAUGGUUUGAUGACUAUGAAAAUGAUGUGAAUCAUAUGCUAUGGCCUUCACAGUCACCAAAUCUCAACCCAAUCGAACACCUAUGGUAGAUUUUGACCGGCGUGUUAAGACAGCGUUAUCCACCACCAUCAUCAAAACACCAAAUGAAGGAAUAUCUAUAGGAAGAACGGUGUUCCAUCCCUCCAGUAGAGUUCCACAGACUUGUAGAAUCUAUGCCAAGGCACACUGAAGCUGUUCUGGCAGCUUGUGGUGGCCCAACACCUUAUUAAGACACUUUAUGUUGGUUUUUCAUUUCAUUUGUCACCCAUCUAUAUAUGUAUGCAAGAGUGUGUGUUUGUGUGUGCGUGUAUUUAUGUGCUGAGGACACUACUAAGUGAGCACGCAUGUGUGUGUCUGUGAGUGAGUGUGCAUGUGUGUAUG